CUCAUGCUUCAAUCCCAGGAGCUGGGAAGCCAUCUUCAACAAGGUCAAAUUUAGAAAAGAUUUGGCUGGAGACUCGAGACCGAUAAGGAGCAAGCCUUGAGAACGUCUGGUGGGAGAACAGCCCUGACAGAAAGAACAGCACGUGCAGAUGUCUGAGGCAAUAGCACAUCUGCCUGGUGUGUUUGCAAGACAGCAUGGAGCCUGGGCAGCAGAAGUAAGGGAAGGCUGAGGAGCACCAGUGUCCAUUUACAGGAACAGGCUCUGUGAGCCUGGGCUUCAAACAUGCUGCUGCUGCUGCGGCUGCGGCUACUGCUGCUGCUGCUGCUGCUGCUGCUGCUGCUGCUGCUGCUACAGUGUUUCUGACCAGGAGAGUUGGGAUCACCAGGAAACUUACCUGGAGGCUGGGAACGGGGUGAACAACGAGGGAGAAGAGACUCCAUUCAUCACCUAAACAGAUCACCACCGCAGAGCAUCACCACCGCAGAGUAUCACCGCCGCAGAGCAUCACCGCCGCAGAGUAUCACCGCCGCAGAGUAUCACCGCCGCAGAGUGGCCAAAAGCAACAGCGUUGAUUCUUCGGCAGUUACAGGUGGAGAAAGUCCACUGUCAGGGUCAUGUCCUCCUGGGAGGUUCUGGAGGGAAUUCUGUCCCCAGCCUCUCUUUGAGCUUCUGGUGUUACCUGCAGGGGGCUGCUCAUUCAGUAGCUCUCCUGCCUUGCCUGUGCAUUACAACGUGCUCACACCGGCAAAGACCUAAUUUCUAAGUGAGGUCACACUCACCGGGGUCGGGACCUGGACUAGUCUUUUCAAAAGACAGAACCAACUUAGAACAGAGACAAGCUGGGUCAGCUGGCUGGGAAACAAUGAAGACUUAGCCAAUGCACAGAUGAGGAGCAAAGCAGGGCUGAGGAGGCAGCCUGGCUGAGGCUGAUGAUGGGAGGUGAGGCUGGGCAGAGGUGGGGCAUAGGGAGAGGCCUCUGUCUUUCCAACUUGAAAAAAAAAAAGGUGUCGACAGAAAUAAUGCCAA